UACGUAGGGAGCAAGCGUUGUUCGGAUUUACUGGGCGUAAAGGGCGCGUAGGCGGCGCGGUAAGUCACUUGUGAAAUCUCUGAGCUUAACUCAGAACGGCCAAGUGAUACUGCAGUGCUAGAGUGCAGAAAGGGCAAUCGGAAUUCUUGGUGUAGCGGUGAAAUGCGUAGAUAUCAGGAGGAACACCCCAGGGGGAAACCAGUCGACUGGGCAGCACCUG
rnacentral:rRNA from 1 species